UAUCGACUUUUUGGGAAAUGUUACCUAAUUUUACGAAGUAGAUUAUCAUUGAGACCCGAGUUCGAGUCCCAGCAUUUCUCUCUUCUUUUCCUUUUUUCUGUUUUUAGUUUUUUCGUUAUGGGACACUAUUUUCGCUGUAUUAUAUUCUAAAAGUUAAUCAAAAGUGAAAUUGGGCCAUAAAUUUGACGUUUUUAGGUAUUUUAGCGUAUAUUCAUGUUCAAAGCUUCGAAUGUUUCAAUGAAUCAUCAAAAUGAUUCAAUGAAGCUUCGUGACGUCACUCUCAACCUUCAUAUAUAAAGUCUCGACCAACCCAUUUUCGGCCCAUUCUUCACCGACCGCUCCCCACUCACUGGCUGCAGCUGACAAGCAGGUGUCAGCUGAUGUACGUGAAGGCCAAUGUUGAAGUGACAGAACCUUGAGCAAGAUUUAACAAGCAGCAUGUUACUUCAGCCUCAUCAGUGACAGCUGAUGUACUUGAAGGCCAGUGGAGAAGUGACAGAACCUAGAGCAAGAUUUAACAUCCAGCAUGUUACUUCAGCCUCAUCAGUUAAGUUACUUGUAUAUCUUGGCUAGUACGGUCAUCCCAUAAUCCACUCAACACUAGACUCCUACACUGAGCAGUGGGGGGGGGGGGCCUAGCUGACUGUGUUGGAGGGCUGUGUGGACUGAAGGUAGUCUGAUAUUAGAGUAAAUUAAUAUUCGUUGUAGUGAAAGUAUAAAUAUACAGGACUAUAUGCCUAUUGGUUAUUAGAGAAAACUAGUAGUAGUAAAUAUAGCAAGUAAAGCAAGUUGUUGUGGUUGGGUUUCAAUUAACUUUACUAACCUAACCAUCGUAACUUCGAUUAAACUAACCUGGACUGAACCAAAUCAGUAUUAAGCUAUCUAUUGUAUAAAAACCUUUUUUUUGUCCAAAACAUUUAAAGAACCUUAAUUCAAACUAUUUUAUGAGCCACUUACGUUUACUGAUCAUGAAUACAGAAAGUUAAUUUUCAAGUUAAAUAAAAUUGACUUUUGUAAAUUAUUAAAAUUUGAUAACUUGUGUAUAGUUGGAGUCUGUUUAAAUACAGCUGGUAGAAGGGUAUCGCCUUUUUCACCUUCAUUCUACAUUAAUAACUCGAAAUAUAUUGUACGUGACAGAUGAUGUACUGGAAGGCCAACGUAGAUGAAGUGACAGAAGCAACCUUGAGCAAGAGGUAACACAUGUUAAUUCAGCCUCCCCAGUUAAGUUACAUAUGUCUUCGUAUGGCUAUCCCAAAAACCACGAUGUAAGAAUGAAAAUGAGUGACUUGCUUUGUGAGAAGGGUUGGGGCACUCGUACGUUGGGCAGUGGAGGGGCGCUCGUGCACCGGCGGUGGUGGUGUGCUCAUACAACGGUUGAAAGUGAAUGUCAUAAAUUUGAGUAAAAUGGCAUGUACUGCGAAGGAAUGUUGUGGAUGAUGCCUGUGAGAAGACUGCUGCAGCCAUAAGAGCAGGAAUGUUGGUGCUCAGGUGUAAGGUGUUAUAGGAGGGUGCUCAAGUGUAUGGAUAAAUGUAAAGAUGCAAGUAUAGAAUGCAAGAAAUUUGGUGUAAAUGUUGUGUAUUAGUGAUACAUUAAUGUUAAUUAAGACUAAUCUACAUACAAAUC
rnacentral:lncRNA from 1 species